rnacentral:rRNA from 1 species
CUAACACAUGCAAGUCGAACGGCAGCACAGGAGAGCUUGCUCUCUGGGUGGCGAGUGGCGGACGGGUGAGGAAUACAUCGGAAUCUACUUUUUCGUGGGGGAUAACGUAGGGAAACUUACGCUAAUACCGCAUACGACCUACGGGUGAAAGCCGGGGACCUUCGGGCCUGGCGCGGAUAAAUGAGCCGAUGUCCGAUUAGCUAGUUGGCGGGGUAAGAGCCCACCAAGGCGACGAUCGGUAGCUGGUCUGAGAGGAUGAUCAGCCACACUGGAACUGAGACACGGUCCAGACUCCUACGGGAGGCAGCAGUGGGGAAUAUUGGACAAUGGGCGCAAGCCUGAUCCAGCCAUACCGCGUGGGUGAAGAAGGCCUUCGGGUUGUAAAGCCCUUUUGUUGGGAAAGAAAAGCAGUCGGUUAAUACCCGAUUGUUCUGACGGUACCCAAAGAAUAAGCACCGGCUAACUUCGUGCCAGCAGCCGCGGUAAUACGAAGGGUGCAAGCGUUACUCGGAAUUACUGGGCGUAAAGCGUGCGUAGGUGGUUGUUUAAGUCUGUCGUGAAAGCCCUGGGCUCAACCUGGGAAUUGCGAUGGAAACUGGGCAACUAGAGUGUGGCAGAGGAUAGUGGAAUUCCUGGUGUAGCAGUGAAAUGCGUAGAGAUCAGGAGGAACAUCCGUGGCGAAGGCGACUGUCUGGGCCA